UGCUAGACGGUGGUGGAGUGAAAGCAGGCGGGCAGCGGCGGCGCUGAUUUGUAGCAGGGCGGCGAGGGUGGGAGUGAAAGCAGCAGCAGAAGUUCCAGCCUCCAGGCGCCGUGGAGUGGCCGGCGUUGCCGCGUGGGGCGUGAGGCGUGAGGCAGGGUGGGGUGGCGACCGACGACGACGACGUGACGAACAAGAGGCCGCGGCGGCGCUUCCUUAGGUCGCAGACUCGCAGGUGCAGGCAGGAACGAAGAAGAAGAUGAAUUCUUUCAGAUUUGAAACUUGAAAGUGAGGCAGCGGCGCUGCCUUUAGGGCUUAGAAGUCAGAAAUUAGAAUUAGGGUUAGAUAUUUUAAGUAUAUAAUUAAAAUAUUAUAUAUAUAUAUAUAUAUAUAUAAUUCGGUUUUCG
rnacentral:lncRNA from 1 species